UUUAAGUAUAUGAGGUGAUUAAUUGGAGGGCAAAUCAAGUGCCAGCAGCCGCGGUAAUACUUGUUCCAAGAGUGUGUAUGAUGAUUGAUGCAGUUAAAAAGUCCGUAGUUUAUUUUUUAAAAAGGUGUAGGAUUGGGAAAAAAGAAUGUGACACCCAA
rnacentral:rRNA from 1 species